rnacentral:rRNA from 1 species
CUCUUGUAAAGCUAGAAUUCUAACCUUGUAUCGUAAGCAGGUCAAGGAACAGUUUCAGGUGGGCAGUUUGACUGGGCGGUCGCCUCCUAAAAGGUAACGGAGGCGCACAAAGGUUUCCUCAUAUCGGUCAGAAAUCGAUAGUAGAGCGUAAAGGCAUAAGGAAGCUUGACUGCGAGACCUACAAGUCGAGCAGAGACGAAAGUCGGUCUUAGUGAUCUGACGGUUCCGAGUGGAAGGGCCGUCACUCAACGGAUAAAAGUUACUCUAGGGAUAACAGGCUGAA